CCUACGGGAGGCUGCAGUGGGGAAUAUUGCACAAUGGGGGAAACCCUGAUGCAGCGACGCCGCGUGAGUGAAGAAGUAUUUCGGUAUGUAAAGCUCUGUCAGCAGGGAAGAAAAUGAUGGUACCUGACCAAGAAGCCCCGGCUAACUACGUGCCAGCAGCCGCGGUAAUACGUAGGGGGCAAGCGUUAUCCGGAUUUACUGGGUGUAAGGGGAGCGUAGACGGCAGGGCAAGUCUGGGGUGAAAGGCGGGGGCUCAACCCCCGGACUGCUCUGGAAACUGCCAGGCUGGAGUGCAGGAGAGGUGAGUAGAAUUCCUGGUGUAGCGGUGAAAUGCGUAGAGAUUAGGAGGAACACCAGUGGCGAAGGCGGCUUACUGGACUGUAACUGACGUUGAGGCGCGAAAGCGUGGGGAGCAAACAGGAUUAGAUACCCUGGUAGUC
rnacentral:rRNA from 1 species